AACGAGACCUUAACCUGCUAAAUAGCCCGUGCCGCCUAGGCGGCACGCCGGCUUCUUAGAGGGACUAUCGGCUCAAGCCGAUGGAAGUUUGAGGCAAUAACAGGUUAACCGUAAUCACAGGCCUGUAAAAGUAUGGAUCCAAUGGAUGCUGCUAGUUCACACCAGACUCGUGGGGAA
rnacentral:rRNA from 1 species